rnacentral:lncRNA from 1 species
AAAAAAAAAAAUGUAUAUACAUACAUAUGUAUAUAUAUUUAACGACACUUUCAGAGAGAAUGUGACAGAGAUAAAAGCUGAAUAAGAAUGACAGGAAAACUGAUCUGGAAGCAUAAAUGAUGAGGAUGAGAGAAAACAUCUGCAGCUAGACAAACCCAAAAGACUUGGAGAAAGUGACAAAAGUGAAGCAGCAGAGACGAGGAGAGACGUGAAAAUACACGCUGGAGGGAGGGACAUCAGAGACGAGAAGAGGAAAGCCUCAUAGGUGACUGGGACAUCAGAGAUGAGAAGAGGAAAACCUCGUAGGUGACUGGGACAUCAGAGAUAAGAAGAGGAAGGCCUUGUAGGUGACCGGGACAUCAGAGACAAGAAGAGGAAGGCCUCGUAGGUGACCAGGACAUCAGAGACAAGAAGAGGAAAGCCUCGUAGGUGACCGGGACAUCAGAGACGAGAAGAGGAAGGCCUCGUAGGUGACCAGGACAUCAGAGACGAGAAGAGGAAAGCCUCGUAGGUGACCAGGACAUCAGAGAUAAGAAGAGGAAGGCCUCGUAGGUGACCGGGACAUCAGAGAUGAGAAGAGGAAAGCCUCGUAGGUGACUGGGACAUCAGAGACAAGAAGAGGAAAGCAUCGUAGGUGACCGGGACAUCAGAGAUAAGAAGAGGAAAGCCUCGUAGGUGACCGGGACAUCAGAGAUGAGAAGAGGAAAGCCUCGUAGGUGACCGGGACAUCAGAGAUGAGAAGAGGAAAGCCUCGUAGGUGACCGGGACAUCAGAGAUGAGAAGAGGAGAGCCUCGUAGGUGACCGGGACAUCAGAGACAAGAAGAGGAAGGCCUCGUAGGUGACCGGGACAUCAGAGAUGAGAAGAGGAGAGCCUCGUAGGUGACCGGGACAUCAGAGACAAGAAGAGGAAGGCCUCGUAGGUGACCGGGACAUCAGAGAUGAGAAGAGGAGAGCCUCGUAGGUGACCGGGACAUCAGAGACAAGAAGAGGAAAGCAUCGUAGGUGACCGGGACAUCAGAGAUGAGAAGAGGAAAGCCUCGUAGGUGACCGGGACAUCAGAGAUGAGAAGAGGAAAGCCUCGUAGGUGACCGGGACAUCAGAGACAAGAAGAGGAAUGCCUCGUAGGUGACCGGGCUGGUAGCACAAAUGAUACUCAUACGUGCCAGGACUCUAGCUGAGCCCGAGUUAGAUUUACAGCCCUCCUUAUCUUGACCUAUCUCCAAGUUCCUAGGUGAAGUGGCUGUUCCCAGUGCUGCCUGAAUCCUUCAGCUGACUGCCGGCCAGAGGUUUAUGGCUCUGAUCAGGAAGAUCACUGAUGAGUCUUGUUUCAGACAGGUCCCACCCUCUGUUGGCUCCAACAGUGUUUGAUAUCCAACAAUAGGAAACCAGAUUCUGUGAGUGAACUCAAGCUAUAGGCAGGACCCGUGGAAGGCACAGGGGAAAGGAGUUGUCUUCCCAGGAAAUCUUGGAUUUCCCCCUGGAAGUAGGUAUCCUAUGUACCAGGUGGGAGAGGACUGAGGAGAAUGUGCCUUAGGACAUGGCUGAGAGCCUCUCUACAGCUCUGCACCAUUAAUUCCGUGUGGAUUUGUGUACCUGGAGCCCAGGGAAAACUAAAGCCCCUCUAAUCAAAAUGGUGUUUCUUUCUCGAGGUCCUGCUGGUUGUGAGAGAUUUAUGCUUCUGUGUGGGAUAUGUUCUUUCACCUAUAAACAUCAAAAUCCCACAGUGAAAUGGGAACAGAAAAAUGUUUAUUCCCCACCCAACCUUCAUCUUAAACAUGGUUCAAUAGGAAGGUAUCACUCAGAGACCCUGGCCCAGGGAGGAUCCUUCUAUGACUCUAGUUCCUAAAAUGUGUUCUCUAGAUCAACAAUAUAAACAUCACCAGAAACUUGUUAGACAUGCAAAUUCUCAGCCCCCUACCUCCACUCCUCUGCCCACAGCAAUACUGCAUUAGAAAUGCUGGGAGUGGACCCCAGCAGCUUUCAACAAACCCCUAGAGUGAUUCUAGUGUACCCUGGAGUUUGAGAACCUCAUCUUUCCGGCAGGUGGAAGGGAUGUGGCAAACAGUGCACAGGGGUCCCAAGACUUGUCCCUUCACUCACCUUUCACUGGCCAAAGCAAGUCACCUGGCCUUGCUCCCCCAUUGCCUUCUGCCAUGAUUGGAUGCUUCCUGAGGCCUCCGCAGAAGCAGAAACCACUAUGCUUCCUGUAUAGCCUGCAGAACUACGAGCCAAUUAAAACUCUUUUCUUUAUAAAUGACCCAGUCUCAGGUAUUUCUUUAUAGCAAUGUGAGAACAGACUCUUGAAAUAUUUGCACACCCAUAUUGAAGCAGUAUUAUUCACAAUAGUUAAGAGGUAAAAG